UACAGAGGGUGCGAGCGUUAAUCGGAAUUACUGGGCGUAAAGCGUGCGUAGACGGUUAUUUAAGUCGGAUGUGAAAGCCCCCGGGCUCAACCUGGGAAUUGCAUUCGAGACUGAAUAGCUAGGGUGCGGUAGAGGGAAGCGGAAUUUCCGGUGUAGCGGUGAAAAUGCGUAGAUAUCGGAAGGAACAUCAGUGGCGAAAGCGGCUUCCUGGACCAGCACCGACGUUCAGGCACGAAGCGUGGGGAGCAAACAGGA
rnacentral:rRNA from 1 species